rnacentral:rRNA from 1 species
AGAGUUUGAUCAUGGCUCAGGAUGAACGCUGGCGGCGUGCCUAACACAUGCAAGUCGAGCGAUUACUUCGGUAAAGAGCGGCGGACGGGUGAGUGACGCGUGGGUAACCUGCCCUGUACACACGGAUAACAUACCGAAAGGUAUGCUAAUACGAGAUAAUAUACUUUUAUCUCAUGGUAGAAGUAUCAAAGCUCUGGCGGUACAGGAUGGACCCGCGUCUGAUUAGCUAGUUGGUAAGGUAACGGCUUACCAAGGCGACGAUCAGUAGCCGACCUGAGAGGGUGAUCGGCCACAUUGGAACUGAGACACGGUCCAAACUCCUACGGGAGGCAGCAGUGGGGAAUAUUGCACAAUGGGCGAAAGCCUGAUGCAGCAACGCCGCGUGAGCGAUGAAGGCCUUCGGGUCGUAAAGCUCUGUCCUCAAGGAAGAUAAUGACGGUACUUGAGGAGGAAGCCCCGGCUAACUACGUG